UACAGAGGGUGCGAACGUUGUUCGGAAUUACUGGGCUUGAAGCGCGCGUAGGCGGCCCCGCAAGUGCGGUGUGAAAUCCCACGGCUUACCCGUGGAACCGCGCCGUGUACUACGGGGCUAGAGGAUGGUAGAGGAGGGCGGAACUCUUGGUGGAGCGGUGAAAUGCGUAGAGAUCAAGAGGAACACCGGUGGCGAAGGCGGCCCUCUGGUCCAUUACUGACGCUGAGGCGCGAAAGCUAGGGGAGCAAACGGG
rnacentral:rRNA from 1 species